rnacentral:rRNA from 1 species
GACGAACGCUGGCGGCGUGCCUAAUACAUGCAAGUAGAACGCACAGUUUAUACCGUAGCUUGCUACACCAUAGACUGUGAGUUGCGAACGGGUGAGUAACGCGUAGGUAACCUGCCUGGUAGCGGGGGAUAACUAUUGGAAACGAUAGCUAAUACCGCAUAAUAUUGAUUAUUGCAUGAUAAUUAAUUGAAAGGUGCAAUUGCACCACUACCAGAUGGACCUGCGUUGUAUUAGCUAGUAGGUGAGGUAACGGCUCACCUAGGCGACGAUACAUAGUCGACCUGAGAGGGUGAUCGGCCACACUGGGACUGAGACACGGCCCAGACUCCUACGGGAGGCAGCAGUAGGGAAUCUUCGGCAAUGGACGAAAGGCUGACCGAGCAACGCCGCGUGAGUGAAGAAGGUUUUCGGAUCGUAAAGAUCUGUUGUAAGAGAAGAACGGGUGUGAGGGUGGAAAGUUCACACUGUGACGGUAUCUUACCAGAAAGGGACGGCUAACUACGUG